UGGGGAAUAUUGCACAAUGGGCGCAAGCCUGAUGCAGCCAUGCCGCGUGUGUGAAGAAGGCCUUCGGGUUGUAAAGCACUUUCAGCGGGGAGGAAGGCGGUGAGGUUAAUAACCUCACCGAUUGACGUUACCCGCAGAAGAAGCACCGGCUAACUCCGUGCCAGCAGCCGCGGUAAUACGGAGGGUGCAAGCGUUAAUCGGAAUUACUGGGCGUAAAGCGCACGCAGGCGGUCUGACAAGUCGGAUGUGAAAUCCCCGGGCUCAACCUGGGAACUGCAUUCGAAACUGGCAGGCUAGAGUCUUGUAGAGGGGGGUAGAAUUCCAGGUGUAGCGGUGAAAUGCGUAGAGAUCUGGAGGAAUACCGGUGGCGAAGGCGGCCCCCUGGACAAAGACUGACGCUCAGGUGCGAAAGCGUGGGGAGCAAACAGG
rnacentral:rRNA from 1 species